rnacentral:lncRNA from 1 species
AGAGAGAAGGCAGGCAGAGCAGGAAGGACUCAGGAAAGUUUGGUUGAAGUAGCCCCAGACCUCCUCUCGCUACCGGCUCCCAGCCAAGCCGAGCGCGGCGGCAGCAGGAGCCUUGGCAGCCUCGCCCGGGGGACGGCGCGGAGCACGCUGACGUCAGCCUGCAGAUGUGCCCCGGCCCGGCGGCAGCGCCGCGCAUGCGCGCCGCGUCACGUGGCGGCGGGGGGGGCAGGGGUACAGUCGGGGUAACGCGAAGCGGCGGGGAGGGAUGAGGAGAGGGUGCUGUGCUCUGUCGGUGCGCCCACCGCGCCGAAGGGGGAACUGAACGGGGCUUUAACGGCCCUUGCCUCCGGCUGUGCUGUAGAGCAGUGCGGUGCGGCGUAGUGUGGUGUGGCAUGGCGCGGUGUGUGGGAGCCCGACUGGGCCCCGGGUGGGCGUUGCUGGCGGCGGGCCGGGCAGCCUCCUCUGCCCGGUGAGGCGCCGAGGAAGCCGGCAGAGGCCUCCCGCCGGCCUUCGACCCGGGCGUUACCGCGGAUUUAAUCACAAAGCAGCUCUCAUGUGCCGUGAGGGCGCGGUGCCGGAGAGGCAGUUUGGGGAACGGGGACUUUCGGGGCCGGGACGGGAGGAGGCCUCCCCAGGGGGGCCCGCGUAGCGCUGCGGCUUUAUUUGCAGCGCUGAGCCCGGGUCAGAGCGGGUUCACGCUGCUGCUAGCAGGCCGCCCGAGUGCUGCGCUUCUUCGUGCCGCGUCGGAGGCAGCGGGGUGGUGCCGGUGAGCCGUUAACGCGCGGGAAGGGUCCCACAGUGCAGCCGCUGCGGGGCGCGUCCGAGGACUGGAGGGCAGCCACGGCCCUCGGGGCCUGAAGGCCGGUCUUGAGGUGGCACUCACAGCGACAGAACCACGGUCCGCUUAGUUCUGUCUGAGCGUAGCGUUGCUGCGGUUCAGGUCUAAGUUCUGCACGUAAACAGGUGACGUUCCCAUCAGCAGGAGCUUCAGCGGAGUUAGCACAACCCUGGAGAAAGAUAAAGUUGUUCAUUAGAUCUCAGUGAUCUGAACAAUCUGUAAGACUUAUGGAGAAAAAAGUUGGGACAAGUUGUACAGUGUGUGGAAAUGCAUGUGGAAAAUCUCUAUGGAAAAAUCAGAUUUUCGGCUUUGCACAUGAAUGGAUACUCUUCUAUUGAGAUCUUUCUUUAGAGGGAUGAAACAAAUUAACGGGAAAAGAAUACCAGUGAAUUCACUUUGUGUGCCAUCUCCGCGAAGUUUUUUUCUGAGACUCCAUGGAAAAAAAAAGAAAUGCAGAAGCCUGAAGUGUCCCACGCAAAACUCUCAGAAUAGGCAGGGCAUCCCGGCAUUCCUCACGCUCAGCUCCGCGGUAAAACUGCACACCAAUCUGUUACCAGCUACCACAGUUUCUUACCAAAGGUGCCGUGUAAAAUAAGUUACUAAAAAUCUUCUGAAGUCCAUCUGUCUUUCAGAAAAUAAAGCAU